GUCCUUUUCCUACACUUCAACUACAUAUUGUCCCUAAUGUGAUACAUAUAAGAAGAAAAAUAAGAACAUAAAAGAAAAAAAAAAUGAAAGAACUCCCCUGUUCUUGUGGCUGGGAAGUGGGACACAGUAGAGCCAUUAUCUGGUUCAGGUCCGAGGGGUGAUUUUUAUCGAUUGGGGUAGGGACUGUACCAUCACUUCAACUUUGUCUGUUAAUUGACGGGUUAGCUGCUCGAGGUUAUGUAAUCAUCUGUUG
rnacentral:lncRNA from 1 species